GACUCUCGGCAACGGAUAUCUCGGCGUGAAAUGCGAUACUUGGUGUGAAUUACAGAAUCCCGUGAACCAUCGAGUCUUUGAACGCAAGUUGCGCCACAAGCCAUUAGGCCGAGGGCACGUCUGCCUGGGUGUCA
rnacentral:rRNA from 1 species